rnacentral:rRNA from 1 species
GGAUGCGGCGAGGCGGAGCAGAUGGGAGUUGGGUUGUGGGAGGAGGGGGAGGAGUGGCCUCUGGCCGCAACAUGGAGCCUGAUUUCAUUUCCUUGCCGCAGGUAAAACAGUAAAAAAAAUUGUGUAUUAGGUUGUUCCACAAAUUUUAUUGUGGGAUCCUCCAAAUCUGCGGGAGAAGCGCCUGUUUUUGCCAGUUUUCGCUCGCUUUUGUUCGCGCCUCCACUCCUCGUCGUCGUCGCCGCCGCCGCCGCACAUCCCGGCCCGUUCUUGCUGCCCAUGGCUGUCCCACGUUGUUCGAAAGCUCCUUCACCCCGCGCCGCAUACAUUCCACCAAGUUUCAGCGUGGGGGUGCCCAUUUGUGUCCGGGGCCUCGCGCUCGCCGCCGGCGCCAUGGAUCCACCCCGGGGCUUUACAUGCGGCCUUGUAGCAGGCGAAUCCAGUUGGUUCCGGCGCCGGAGAGCCUCGGAAUCGGUGGGCCUCGCCCGCGCGCGCCGGAGGAAGGAGCGACGCGGCUUUGCUUCGGCGACGGGUAGAAGAAAGGGGCGGCGUGACUUUGCUUCGGCCGGCGGGGGAGAAAAGGGGCGGCACGGCUUUGCUUCGGCGGCUGGCUUCGGGCGAGGUAUGUCCAACGCCCGUGGAAUUGUGUUUGAUUUGGCUCGGUU